rnacentral:lncRNA from 1 species
UCAAACAUGUAUCAGUGUAGUCCAUUUCAUGCAUACAUUUCAUACAUUUGAUAUAGCAAAGAAUAGGGAAACAAGAUUAAAUCUUGAAUCACAAAUUGCAUUAAUUAGAGUUAUCACAUAAAGCAUUUCCAUUAAAAAUAUAAGUAGGUGUUAUACAACAUUCACAAUAUUAUAUUCGCAUGUUACAUAACAUGCCACAUAUCCUAAUGCCUGAUAUUUUGGCUUGAUUUCAACAUGAAAUGAAAAUCAUGGCAACUCUUUCCCUCAUGAUCCACCAUGUUCCACCUUUCAUGCUUCCAUUGGACUUAUGUCAUCAACCAUCAAGCCAAUGCAUUAUGACCUUUGCUCCAUACUCCCUGUCGAACCAAUGAAUGAAGGCAUUUCAAACCAAGUCUCCACCUGCAGAGUUUAACACAGACCAAAUUCUUCAAGAUUACUAACAGAAUUCACAUCAACUUAAGCAUCAAUUGAAAUUCAAAUUGUCCUAACAUAAAACUAACUCCAAUUGAUUCCAUUAUUAACUAGCAAUUAAUAACAUAACAUUGAAUUUCAGAAAACAUUCCAUUUAGAAUUUUCAUUUCACAUGAGUUUCAAUUUCUAACCGACUAACAUCCUACAAAUUCUCAUGACAAAAAUUUAAACCUGCAUAACAAUUCCAAGUGCAGUCACAACAAGCUCUAUUAUUACAUUACCGGGUGGCUCAUAAAACUCAUAACUAACAGUAACAGAGUAGCUAAUAGGACCUUGUAAUUCAUUCAACAACACAAAACGGGAUUCCACGAUAAGCUAAUGGAAAUGCUAACAGUUCAUGAACCAUAACUAACUCACUAACUUCACUUAACAGAAGUACAUCACAACCAACCUUAACUAACUUAUCAAGGCAAUUGCGCUCCUAACCCUAACUGAGUCUAACUAAUUCUAACAGUGUUACUAACCUAUAACCGUUUUACACAAGGGAGAAUUAACAUAGUUUGGGAUCUGUCAACUUCAAUCCCUAUAAAUCCAAUGAGCACAUAAUCAUUGAGGAGCUAGUUUUCUCUCACCAUUUUUCUGCAUUUACCCUCGGAAUUUCUUCAUCUCCCUCAUUCUCGCUCUCUCUCGAAAACCUCACACAGAGCUCUAUUGGGAAGCCAUUGGAGCUUCACAUUGAAGCUCUAAUUAUGCUCGAGUUAGACCUUAUCCUCACACUCUCUCAAUCAGCCUCUACAUAUUUCAUUCGUCAAUCUCACACAAGCAUCAAGAACAAUGUAACAUCACAGCAACGGCACAUCCUACCGGCUAAAGCAAAGAAGAAGAAAAAGAAGAACAGAAUCAAGCAUCGAAGAGUUCGAGAUUUUAGCUGAUCCUCUGAAUUUCCUAUCAUCUUUAAGGCUCUCAAUAUUGACCGAAAUAAUUCACCGCUCCGAAGGUUGGUGCACGUCUUUCGAACUCCCCUAUUUGAUCCUAUUGCUGGUUACCAAAUGAUAGAAUUGAUGUAGAUAAACCUUAACCCCAAGGUUGUGGAUCGAUUUGAGCCAUGGUGACAAUUUAAUUUAGUUUUUACAUUCUAGGGUUCUUAAUAUAUUUCCUUCCAUUCAAAUUAAUGGUUGAAAAUUGAUAGAAAUGAAGGGAGGGUUUAGAGAGAGGACACAGGGACGAGCGUUUGGUGGUUGAAAUUUGACGUGUGACCCGCUCCCCCGCCUCCGGCGCGGCGAAGCCUCCGUUUCCAGUAACGCCUUUUGGCUGAGAAAGAAGAGAAUGAAACGCAUGUUCUGAGUUUUCAUUCAAAUAAUUCUUCACGCGAUUUAAGCUUCAAUGCAAUUAACCACCAUUUAUUACACAUGCGUCCCAAUGCACUAUUCACGUAAGGCAUGC